GACGAAACGACAGUGAUGCGCCCGAAGUUAAAGCCUAGAAAGUAUUCGGUAAACGCGAAACUUACAGUCUAGCCGGAGAUCGAAGCGAUGCGGCCCAAUUAGCUUGGAAGAACUCGUGGAGAAAAGAAAACAAUGGCGAAGUUGCCGACUUGAAAGUAAAUUGCGAAAAUAGUAGAUUUGUAUUGAUUAUGAUGUGUAUCCUUUUUACAGACAUCACAGGGCCCUUAUUUAUACCCUAUACAUCAAGACUUCUAGUCCUAGUUGAUUACGACAAAUCAUAAGAUAUAUCUUUAAAGAAACAAACUCUCUAAACAAAAUAAAAUAAAAAUGACUCGUACAGGAGUCGGAAACGAACUCGGCCUCUAUCAGCCAAAACCUUCUCUUCAUCGGCCAAACCUCCGACAUUUCCAAUCGGUUGGAAUCCUUCUGCUCGCAUCGGCUGACUCCAUCUGCUAUGCCUCUAUCGGCUGCAUCCUUGCGAUUCUAUCAGCUAGACUUUUGUCUUCCUCUAUCGGCAGAGCUUUUCGCCAUCAUCGGCCGAUCUCUUAUAACUUCGCCGGCUGAGCCCUUUGCAACCCAUCGGUCGAUUCCACUAGCCGUUGUCUCUCCACUAUGCAUCAGCAUCUCUGCUUCCUUUUGACGCCAUCUUUGACGUAUGUCAAAAAAUGGUGUCAACACAUGCCCCCAGUUUCGGAGUGAAACUUAUCUUUUGCUCCGACAUUAUCUCAGCCAUGAUUACCUUCCCUGGGAAAACGCUGAUAUUUACCCAUCACCGAGUAACAAAAUAUUUUCUGUUCCAAAAUCUCUUCAGUCAUGAUUACCUAAAAAAGUGUUUGGGGGUAACAGCUCUUCGAGUUUCGCACAGGCAGUGGAUGAGAUACCGCAUUUACCCUCUCGGGUGAGUUUAUAUAUUUAUAGCCAUCAUCUUCUUCUUCCCCACCAGUUCAUCUUCUCACACCAUCACACCUUGCUUCCUCUUUCUUUCAAGCGAAAGGCGACCCUCGACAAUUCCUGACGACCAUCAAAGAUCUCCAGCGACCAUUGGUGAUUCACUUACUAAUCACUUCAGAUUCCAAACCAAUUCCAUGGCCACUCAUACCAUCAUCCCCAAGGUACACCUCUUUGCCUUCAUCGUUUUCCCCGUGCCUCUAUUUUCCUUUCCUUACUUAGCC
rnacentral:lncRNA from 1 species